rnacentral:rRNA from 1 species
GAGAAGGCUAGGUGGGCCUGGCGACGGUUGUCCAGGUUCAAGUGCGUAGGCUUAAGAGUUAGGUAAAUCCGGCUCUUUUUAAGGCUGAGACACGACGUCGAGCAUCUACGGAUGUGAAGUCAUUGAUGCCAUGCUUCCAGGAAAAGCCUCUAAGCUUCAGAUUGUAAGGAAUCGUACCCCAAACCGACACAGGUGGUCGGGUAGAGAAUACCAAGGCGCUUGA